rnacentral:rRNA from 1 species
UUGACCUCACAUCAGGUAG